UAUUUUUUUUUUUGGCUACUUCACCGAUUACGCAAAAUCUUACUACACAGCACAUAAUGAAGAAAGAUAUAAAUAAUUAUCUGAUCAGUGAAUUUGAAGCACAUGAAUUUCAGUGAAUAUACUACACAACGCUGAAGCAUGCACGUUUAAAGUGUAAAUUCAUUUUCCGUUCGAAAAAUAUAAUUGUGUAUUUUGUCAUACACAAAAGGUAUCUGCCAUAACGCAAAAGUUGAAUUAUAGUGCACAUGAGAUUUUUUUUAUACUUGCACUUGUGUUAUAAUAGAAGAGAGAUUUGAAUAAACAGUAAUGAACAAACUUCAUAAAAAUAUUAAAUUUGUCGAAUAUAAUAUCUAUAUAGUAUGUUCGUGACA